GUGCCAGCAGCCGCGGUAAUACGGAGGAUGCAAGCGUUAUCCGGAUUUAUUGGGUUUAAAGGGUGCGUAGGCGGUUUGUCAAGUCAGCGGUGAAACGCAAGGGCUUAACCCUUGACCUGCCGUUGAAACUGGCGGACUUGAAUGCGGAUGCUGUGGGAGGAAUGUGUGGUGUAGCGGUGAAAUGCAUAGAUAUCACACAGAACACCGAUUGCGAAGGCAUCUCACAAAUCCGUGAUUGACGCUGAGGCACGAAAGUGUGGGGAUCAAACAGGAUUAGAUACCCUGGUAGUCCACACUGUAAACGAUGAUGACUCGCUGUCGGCGAUAUACAGUCGGUGGCCAAGCGAAAGCGUAAGUCAUCCACCUGGGGAGUACGACCGCAAGGUUGAAACUCAAAGGAAUUGACGGGGGCCCGCACAAGCGGAGGAACAUGUGGUUUAAUUCGAUGAUACGCGAGGAACCUUACCCGGGCUCGAACGGUAGACGAACAAUGUAGAGAUACAGCGGUCCUUCGGGACGUCUAUCGAGGUGCUGCAUGGUUGUCGUCAGCUCGUGCCGUGAGGUGUCGGCUUAAGUGCCAUAACGAGCGCAACCCUUGCCAUUAGUUACCAGCAUGUAGUGAUGGGGACUCUAGUGGGACUGCCACCGUAAGGUGAGAGGAGGGGGGGGAUGACGUCAAAUCAGCACGGCCCUUACGUCCGGGGCGACACACGUGUUACAAUGGUGGGUACAGAGGGCAGCUACCUGGCGACAGGAUGCAAAUCUCGAAAACCCAUCUCAGUUCGGAUCGGAGUCUGCAACUCGACUCCGUGAAGUUGGAUUCGCUAGUAAUCGCGCAUCAGCCAUGGCGCGGUGAAUACGUUCCCGGGCCUUGUACACACCGCCCGU
rnacentral:rRNA from 1 species